rnacentral:lncRNA from 1 species
AAUUUUUCAUUAAUAAAAAUGCAUUGUACAGUAAUCCACUUCAGUUUUGAUUAAAAAAAUUUUAAAAAGACAAGAAUUGAACCAAUGUCCUAUCAAAUGUGAUAGUGGUUGAAUGCUGAAUGCAUCAUGCUAUGAUGGCACUUAUUGGACUGCCAAUGUGACUCAGUAUAUAAGGAACAUAGAAAACUUUAAACUCUCCUUUUUUGGAAAUGUUUUGAGAGUUGCAUCGUGCUUUAUCAUGGAUUUGUGGGAGGGUUAUACUCAACAUAUAAAAAUUAGAGGGGCCAUGGUUAGCACUCCCCUUGUCAAAAGUAAAGUGGUGGAAGACUAAGGAUGAUUACAGUAGUGCAGUGGAUGAAUUGAUAUUUUUAAUUAUCAGCUCAAAAGAACAGGAAUACUACUACAAAAUACCUGUGAUCUGCUCUUGCUGCAGCUACAGGAACCCUAGUAUCUACUUCAGAAAGGAGAUCUGUAUGCUAGGUGGUCAGUAGUCUACAGACCCCUUAUCCCUGUCAUGGAGAAAACAUUUUUAAAAUAAGUAAGACAUUACAUCAAUUGGAAUGAAGCCAAUAGAGAUCUGUACUCUGUACAGAUAUGUCCUGAUUUGUUCUGCAAUGUGACUCAAGCUACAAUGAUGUGGAGAGAAUCAGGAAUAGAUUACUUAUCUCUAAUAUUUGAAAAAGAAUUUUAUUUUGAUGGAAGUGGUCUGAUAGUUUGGGGUAACAUUUUGUUAGGCAUCACACAAAUCUGUAUAUGCUUCCUAGAGGAAACCUGAAUACCAGAAGGUGUAUGGAUUUAGACAGCAUUGUUCACAUUUACAUAUAUAGGUGCAGUUGGAGAUUUCUUUGUUCUACUGAAUGAUAAUGCUUGAACACACUGAGCAGACUAGUACAGCAAUUUCAUGCUGCAGCUUUCAUGAUCAGAACAUCAUUCAUAUGGAUUGGCCAUUCAGGUCUCCUGAUCAGUUCUCUUGAGCACAUUUGAGAUGUUUUAGAUGUGUAGCUGUCCUCAAAACUUUGGAGAGCUCAGAAGUGCUUUGCAAAAACAAUAGUCAUUGCUACAAGCUAAAAUUGAUAAGGAAUAUCAUAAACAGCAUGAAAUAUUGUUUCAGGUCCUGAUUGCUGUGAGGGGGUCACCAUACUCCAUAUUGAGACAUUUUGGCUAUUUCAUUAUCAUGAACACUUAUUCCUGAUCCACACUAUUGAGUUGCUCAUGGUUUGAUCUCAGUUCUGUGAAUGGCUCUAUAGUGUGGAUCAGGCCUUAUGUGUUCUGUUUCUAAUUUUUGUAAGAAAUAAAAUUUUAUAUUUGCUAUUUUUAGUCUUUCUUUAAUGAAUAUUUUCACUAAAUUUUAGAAAAAAUAAUAAUAAUAUAAUAAUU